UUAGAGUUUGAUCCUGGCUCAGAUUGAACGCUGGCGGCAGGCCUAACACAUGCAAGUCGAGCGGUAGAGAGAAGCUUGCUUCUCUUGAGAGCGGCGGACGGGUGAGUAAUGCCUAGGAAUCUGCCUGGUAGUGGGGGAUAACGUUCGGAAACGGACGCUAAUACCGCAUACGUCCUACGGGAGAAAGCAGGGGACCUUCGGGCCUUGCGCUAUCAGACGAGCCUAGGUCGGAUUAGCUAGUUGGUGGGGUAAUGGCUCACCAAGGCGACGAUCCGUAACUGGUCUGAGAGGAUGAUCAGUCACACUGGAACUGAGACACGGUCCAGACUCCUACGGGAGGCAGCAGUGGGGAAUAUUGGACAAUGGGCGAAAGCCUGAUCCAGCCAUGCCGCGUGUGUGAAGAGGGUCUUCGGAUUGUAAAGCACUUUAAAGUUGGGAGGAAGGGCCGUUACCUAAUACGUGAUGGUUUUGACGUUACCGACAGAAUAAGCACCGGCUAACUCUGUGCCAGCAGCCGCGGUAAUACAGAGGGUGCAAGCGUUAAUCGGAAUUACUGGGCGUAAAGCGCGCGUAGGUGGUUUGUUAAGUUGGAUGUGAAAUCCCCGGGCUCAACCUGGGAACUGCAUUCAAAACUGACUGACUAGAGUAUGGUAGAGGGUGGUGGAAUUUCCUGUGUAGCGGUGAAAUGCGUAGAUAUAGGAAGGAACACCAGUGGCGAAGGCGACCACCUGGACUGAUAUUGACACUGAGGUGCGAAAGCGUGGGGAGCAAACAGGAUUAGAUACCCUGGUAGUCCACGCCGUAAACGAUGUCAACCUAGCCGUUGGGAGCCUUGAGCUCUUAGUGGCGCAGCUAACGCAUUAAGUUGACCGCCUGGGGAGUACGGCCGC
rnacentral:rRNA from 1 species